AAGUCGUAACAAGGUCUCCGUUGGUGAACCAGCGGAGGGAUCAUUACAGGACUCGCAAGACUCCUACAACCCUGUGAACCUACUAUACGAACGUUGCUUCGGCGGGUGCGCCCCGGGGAUUCGUUCCCGAGGCGCGUCAGCCCGCCGGCAGCCUACAAAUUCUGUUUCUUUGCGUUGGCAUCUCGAGAAAAAAAAAAUAAGUUAAAACUUUCAACAACGGAUCUCUUGGUUCUG
rnacentral:misc_RNA from 1 species